ensembl:lncRNA
CUCGCCCGCUACCUGACACUGGCCCAGGACGGGUGGGGGGACCGGGGGCGGGGAGGGGCGGAGGAGGAGCGAGGAGGCCAGGAGUCCUGAGGUGUGAAAAGGAGGAACAGGUAGGAGGGGAGAGGGGGAGAGUGUGGAGAAAGGGCGACUGAGAAGAGGGAGAUUCGGAGAGAGGCUAGAAAGGGAGGAAGGAGGGAGGAGAGCUUCGAGCAUAGGAUGGGUUGGAUUGGGAGAAGAGGAGGGGACAGGGAGAGGAGAAGAAAGAGGAAAACGAGAGAAGGAGGAAGGGAGGGAGAGAGGGAGAGAGAGAGAGAGAUUGAGAUUGGAGAGGAGUGGGAUGGGAUCCCAGUGCGUCCCGCGUGCGCCCCCCUCCAGGCAGCCGGCCGGCGGCAGCGCACAAAGCCGCCUUUGAGAGGCCGGCGACCAGGGCUAUUUUGGGGACGAGAUGGGGGAAAGCCGCCAACCCACACUCCUUGAAGGGAGUCACUUUCUGCAAAGUGUCUUGGAGAGGACUGGGCCCUAGGUCCGGGCUGUCGGGGCAGGAAGUGGAUGGAGGGGACAAAAGCUGCGCACCUGCCAAGAGCGAGAGCACUUGGCGAGCACCUCCUCCUCUUCCCCUCCCGCUCCCUGGCUGCGCACCGCGGCCGCUGGACUCCCCCGGCGGCCGAGCUCCGCCCUCCGCAGCCUCCCUAGACCACACCACUCCACCGGCCUUUUCUGGGGUCUGCCCUCCUCUGGCUGCCUUCUGGGUCACUCUUUCUCUCCUCCCUUAUAUCUCCUUCUUCCUUUUCUUCUUCCCUCCUCUCUCAUUUCUUUGCCCAUUCUGCUCUCUCCUUUUCGCCAUUCUUAUUCCGGGGUCCAUCCCCCAGCCCCGCGACACUUCAGACCGGAGCACUGCUCUGGCCAGCGGGCCCUUCGGAAGGAAAGCAAGGGGCCCCGGGAAGAAAGGAGAGAAGAAAAAUAUUGCUCGGGAAAGAGAGUGUGGCCUUUGAGGCGCCCAUGGGAAAACCAGCCCACUGUGUGCCUUUGCCUGGAUAAAGUUGUUGAGCCCGGAGUAGCAGCCGUCAGAGGGUGGCUCCUUGUGUUGGGGGGAGUUGGAAAUUCUAUCAAUAACCCUGUCCCAGACAGAAGUAAAGCUGGCAUGCCGUUCCCCCAGCCGCCUCCCGGCAGCACACACAGCUCCUGGCCUCCCCCAACUAUCUCUUCUUUACUAGGAAAACAGUCUGUCUCCAUUGUCCAGGUGCCAGCAGGGCCUUUGGCAAAAGGGAGGCCAGCCAGCCCUCUGAUCAAACUCAAAGGUUUGGUGGAUAGAUCAGAGACUUUGGAGAGGAAGAAGGAAAUAUUUAUUCAGGAGAACUACAGUUGGCAUUGGCAGGUUACUUUUUUCACAUUCUUCUGGCCAAACAAAUCACAACGCCAGUUCAGAUUUAAGAGGAUCUUGACCACAGCAUCUUCACCUUCUAGAAUCCUCUACCCAUUUUUGUAUAAUUCUGUCUAUGUCACGAUCUCAUGGAAUAUGGGUGAAGAUGAGGUUUUCUAGAACAUACUGAUGCCAUUUGACACCCUGGAUUCCACAGCCAAGGCUGGCCUAAG